AGAGUUAAACAGUACGUGAAAUUGUUGAAAGGGAAACGAUUGAAGUCAGUCAUGCUUGCGUAGAAAUCAACUUGGUGGUUUACUUCCUUGUGUAUUUUCUCGCUAGCAGGUUAACAUCAAUUUUAGUUGUCAUCAAAUAAUUGGGGAAAUGUGACUUCUCUUCGGUGAAGUGUUUAUAGACCCUGAUAGAUGUGGUAACUGGGAUUGAGGAUUGCAGCGAAUGCUUUUUGGCUAGUCACCUGUCUUCUGACAGUUACCUCGCUUUUGACAGCUUGCUGAUGAUUGUGGGAUUUAACAGUUUAGAAGUUAGAGUGUACAUAAAUUCGCUAAGGAUGUUGACGUAAUGGCUUUAAACGA
rnacentral:misc_RNA from 1 species